GUCUAUGGCUAUACCACCCUGAACACACCUCAUCUUGUCUGAUCUCAGAAGCUAAGCAAGGUCAAGCCCUGUUAGUAUUUGGAUGGGAGACUGACUGGAAAAAGCUGUCUGCAGUGGCAA
ensembl:rRNA 5S_rRNA 5S ribosomal RNA